CAGAUAUGAUCCAGCCCUGUACUGAGUUACUUCGGUUAGUCCGAGUGAACGCUCAAUAAUGAGUGGUGCAGCUUUGGGACUCGAGAUUGUUUUUGUUUUUUUUCUGGCAUUAUUUCUACUUCAUCGAUAUGGAGACUUUAAGAAACAGCACAGACUUGUAAUUGUUGGAACACUGCUAGCUUGGUAUCUCUGCUUUCUUAUUGUCUUCAUACUGCCUCUGGACGUUAGUACGACAAUAUACAACCGAUGCAAGCAUGCUGCUGCCAACUCAAGCCCUCCUGAGAACAGCAACAUCACAGGCUUGUACGCAACGGCCACCCCAGCUCCAAGUCCACAUCCGUGUUUCAAGCCAUGGAGUUACAUUCCUGAUGGAAUCAUGCCAAUUUUCUGGAGGGUAGUAUACUGGACAUCGCAGUUUUUAACAUGGAUUCUCUUACCUUUUAUGCAGUCAUAUGCAAGAUCAGGAGGGUUCUCCAUCACGGGAAAGAUCAAAACCGCACUGAUUGAGAAUGCGAUCUAUUAUGGCACCUACUUGCUGAUUUUUGGAGCAUUUCUAAUUUAUGUAGCUGUAAACCCACACUUGCACUUAGAAUGGAACCAGCUUCAGACGAUUGGGAUCGCUGCUGCUAACACAUGGGGUUUAUUUCUUCUUGUGUUAUUGUUGGGGUAUGGCUUGGUGGAAAUCCCUCGGUCAUACUGGAAUGGAGCAAAAAGAGGUUAUCUACUGAUGAAAACGUAUUUUAAGGCAGCCAAAUUGAUGACAGAGAAAGCAGAUGCAGAAGAGACUUUAGAAGAUGUCAUGGAGGAGGUUCGUAAAGUGAGUGAAAGCAUCAAGUAUAACCACCCAUUGAGAAAAUGUGUUGACACAAUACUUAAAAAGUGCCCUACAGAGUAUCAGGAAAAAAUGGGUAGGAACAUGGAUGAUUAUGAAGAUUUUGAUGAAAAGCAUAAUACCUAUCCGAGUGAAAAAAGUCUGGUGAAAUUACAUAAACAGGUUAUUUACUCAGUUCAGAGGCACCGUCGAACUCAAGUACAAUGGCAGAUCCUUCUGGAACAAGCAUUUUAUCUAGAAGAUGUAGCAAAAAAUGAAACUAGUGCUACUCAUCAGUUUGUUCACACCUUUCAAUCACCAGAACCGGAAAAUAGAUUUGUCCAGUAUUUUUAUAGUCCUGCAGUUGAGUGGUACUGGGAGUGUCUUUUGCGACCAUGGUUUUACAGAAUACUGGCUGUGGUUUUGUCUGUCUUCUCUGUGAUUGUCGUGUGGUCAGAGUGCACGUUCUUUAGCACGACGCCUGUCUUAUCCCUCUUUGCAGUCUUCAUACAGCUGGCUGAAAAAACAUACAAUUAUAUUUAUAUCGAGAUUGCUUGCUUCCUUUCCAUCUUCUUCCUAAGUAUCUGUGUUUAUUCUACUGUGUUCAGGAUUCGUGUGUUUAACUAUUACUACUUGGCUUCACAUCACCAGACCGAUGCUUACAGCCUUCUUUUCAGUGGCAUGUUAUUUUGCCGUUUGACUCCUCCUUUAUGUCUUAAUUUCUUGGGGUUGACCCAUAUGGAUUCCUCCAUCUCUCACCAGAAUACGCAACCAACUGCUUAUACAUCUAUUAUGGGUUCCAUGAAAGUUUUAUCCUUUAUUGCAGAUGGAUUCUAUAUAUAUUAUCCUAUGCUGGUAGUAAUUCUCUGCAUUGCUACUUAUUUUAGUUUGGGAACUCGUUGUUUGAAUCUACUUGGUUUCCAGCAGUUCAUGGGAGAUAAUGAUAUGACCUCAGACUUAGUUGAUGAAGGAAAAGAAUUAAUCAGGCGAGAGAAGAGAAAAAGGCAAAGGCAAGAAGAAGGUGAAAAUCGAAGAAGAGAAUGGAAAGAACGAUAUGGACACAAUAGAGAAGAUUCCACUAGAAACAGAAAUGUUCAUGUUGACCCAAAAGAGUCAAAUUUUUCAGAAAUGAGUACGACCCGAUCAGCAUCUAAAUAUACGAGGGCCAAUAAUAGGACUGAAAGGGAUCGAAUAGAACUCCUACAAGAUGUAGAACCUUUGGAUUUUAAUGCAGAAGCGUUUACUGAUGAUCCUCUAGAAUCUGAAUCAGGAAGGUAUCAGCCUGGUGGACGAUACCUCUCGAUGUCGCGCAGCAGAAUAUUUGAUGAUGUUUAAAGUCUGAAAGAAUUCAUGGAAUAACUAACCCAAGCCAAUCAGUUCAGUCUUUAUGAAUAUCUGUAUACCCUAAAAUGUACACUGUACUCUCAGUGAUAAACAAAAGACACUGAAAAUCAAUCACUUCUUAGUAAUAGUUCAUGCUCCAUUGAAUAGAGUAUCAUCUUUUCUAAUAGAAUUUAUUACAUGCCAUUCCUGAAGUGUCUGCCUUAGUUUGGAGUACAGUUAAUUCAUGAAGGGAUUUAAUUCAUGAUAAAGAUCGGUAUGUGUUGAGAACAUGUAGUUCAAUUUGUUUCAUAUUAUUUUUUUCAGGAAAGUUGAUUUAAAGCUCCAAGGAAGCCCUAAGUCAAACUCUAAUAUUAUACCACUUUAUUUUGAUUAACAUUUUUGCUAUUUCUAAAGAAUAUGUUAAUCUUGUAUUUCCCAAAGAAUUGAAGACCAUGAUAACCAUAUUUACAAAACCCAUGUUGUAAAACAAGGCUUGUUUACCAGACAUAAGUAGGUGUAAAAAGUUCUUUUCCAGCUCUUAUGCGUGUUGGUGAGGUCUUUGCAUGUACAGUUCAGACUAGACUUCAGCAACAGUGCUGGUGUCUGCAGCACGUGUGUGAUAACUGGGCGAAGUGUAAUUCUUAGUCUUUGGUAGUAACUGGAAGCUGCCAGUGCUUUGUUAUGCCUUGUAAAAGAUGUUCAUUUCAGAGAGAAGUGUCCACCUUUCUCAUUGAGUAGGUUGAUUUAAGUCUUGAUUAUUCCAUUUAAGGAGAAUCAUACACAUAAUGGUAAAUAGUGUUGUUGUUUUUUAAUAACCAAAGAGUCCCACAGAAUUCUCUAAUAUUUAAAGGUGCGUAUUUAUGCUUUUUGAAAAAGAAUAUCUGGUUAUUCAAAGGCAAAAAGUGAAUCCAUUUUCUGUUAUUACUACUAAUAACACUUAAAUUGUGGUUUAUAGCAAACAGAAAACUACAGGCAUACCUUGGAGAUAUUGUGGAUUCGGUUCCAGACCACAGCAGUAAAGUUUUGUCAUAAAACUCAGAUGUGAUUGUAGAAGCUGAAGCAGAAAACGAGAAGAAAUUAUCCAGUUACUUUUAUAACUUACAGUUACCUAAGAUAAAUUGAUAGGAAAAUGUAAGGGAAUGUACUACUUUCCUUUAUUAUUAAUUUUUUAUUAUUUGAAUAAUCAAAGUAUUACACUUCAUGAACAGUAGAUCCCUUUAUGACUUCUGAGUUAUUUUCCCAAUAAUUUUGGUUACGUGAUCCAGAGUACUCAACUUUUGAAGCAGAAUUUAUAAGAUUUUAUAUAUGAUCAGUUAGGAAGGUUACCUGGUAAAUUUGAGUUCAGAAAGUAAUGAUUUAAUCUCUGAAGACAGUUUAUUGCUGGGGGACUAAGUAAGCCACCUUGUAUAAAAAUCUGUAGUAAGUACAAGAGAGUUCUUUUUUGAGAAGCUUAUUAAAAUGUAAUGGCAUCUACUGUAAAACAUUACUACUAAGUUAAUAUACUUUACACGCAAAGUACUUUUCUUGAAGAGUUACUUCUGGCAAUUACCUCUUGAAGUCAGAUGUCUUUCUUACAUAAUAAUAGAUAUCUGAUUACAUUUUCUAUAUUAUUUUUCUAAAUAAUUGUUAGGUAAGCAUAUUCGUAAGCUGGUAAUUCAAAGUAAUCUUUGCAGAAAAUAAUUAAUAAUCUACUAAUUUCGUGAAACACCUGUAAGUUGCUACUUAAGUUUUGUUACUCCAUCAAUAAUGUAUUAUUAUCCAUAGAGCAUUUUUGUAAAAAUCAUCACUAAAAUAAGAAAUAAGAUAUAAGCCUAAUUAUUAGGAUUUGUUCUCUCACCAAAUGAAUACAAGGGCUUUGGGAUAAUGUCAUCAUGCAAGAGCCCCUCAUUUCACAAGAGCUAAAUCAAAAGAGUCGGUGGUUCUUUAGUUAUAAAAAACAGAUCCGAGAAUCUGGCAGUCCCAACCUCGGGAAGAAAUGCCACCAGUUGGUGUGUUUUGGGAGUCUGCUGUUUGAUUAGAUUAUCGGUUCUUAUAUUUAUGCCUUUUGUGUACCCAAAUGAAAGGUGAUGUGGAUGGGGAAGGCAAUGUGUGUUUUCGUAAGUGUAUUUCAGCAUAUUAAUGAAGGAAUUUCAUUUAUGUACAAUAGCAAACCUCACUUUUUAUACCUUUAAUAGGUUUAGGGAAUGUUCUUGAUGGUGUGGUGGUUACCAUUUUAAAGGAAAAAUAAACUCUCUGUGAUUAUAAUUCACACUGCCCAGUUUUGUGAGUUUUAUACUUGUGAUUUGAAUGGACCAUGUCUGAAAAUCACAAGGAUGAAUAUAUUUACACCUCCAUUUCCUUUCAUGCUCAGCCUGAUUUCCCUAAAUUUUAUUCUCAUUUUCAAAAGAUUUGUCCAUUAAGGUUGAUGGAAGCCUUGUUAUAAUUUCAAGUUUGUGAAUGAAGCAAAAAUAAUGGCACGUUCCUCUUUUCAUAUUGAUAUUCUAAAAGACAUUUGUUUUUGAUACUCUCCCUGGGGAGCAUUAACUUUUUUCUCCUGAAAAUAUUUUCUUUUAUGGUUAUCUUGAUCUCAAAUUAUUUUUGCAAAGAGAUUUUACUGUGUUUAGUGCAAAAAAAUAAGAGAGGGAGAGAGUUCAUGUAAAGUGGAAUUUCAGAUUAGAAACACAAUAUCAUUUACUAUGGCAGACAUAUGAAGGGUAAAAUGUAUUAAGCUGACUAUACAACACAUUUAGAGUUGAUGUAAUUGACAUAAAUCUUAUCAACCUUGUCGCUUUGAACUGUCUUUCUCAAAAGAAUGCUGGCUAGCAUCUUCCCUACUUGCUACACCAAAUUGUAGGGGAGAGACUGUGUAUGUAUUUUUUAAAAGCAAUCCAAUGGAUUUGUUUUUGUCCAUAUUUUGAAAACAAGCUUGAAGAAUUUUUCUUAUUUUAGAAGGUAGGGAACAUGUGGAACUGUCUUUUAAAUUACUGUAAUCUAAUAUAUAUUUAUAAAUUAUAGCAUUAAAAAGUUCUGAUAUUGAUGUUGUUACUUCCUGGUAUUUAAUUUUUAUAAAAUGUUUUUGUAAGUAACUAAUUGUAAUAUUUCUUUUAAGUAAUUUAAAAAAUCUUUCCCAGAUAAAUUCUGCCCAGAACCUAUUUCCUUAGGGCAAUAUUCUAAAGUUCAGUAGUCCAGCGUGAAUUUGAAAUGUUCUUACAUCUCCUCAGUCUCUUUUAAUAUAUACAAGUACCCAAGCAAAGUACACCAAAAGCCUAAUUUCUUUGUUGCAUUAAUAAAGUAUAUGCUAAUUAUCAAAUUCAGUGGAUUAGGUGGAAUAAAAGAUAAGUCUUUCAAAUAUGUAUCUGAUCAUAAUUUUUCAAAAUGUUCAUUAUGUUCAUUUUUGGUGCAUGAUGCCAAAUAAUCCUUAAUCAGCCAUUACUACCUGAUAUGUAGUGACAAAUGUUUUUCUAUCUGAUCAGUGGAUUGUAGAUUUCACUAUUUUUCUCUGCAGAUAAUCACUGCAUUUUCAAAUUGAUUUGGAAAAAGCGGCGAAGUGCUACCUAUAAGUAAAUUAGCAUAUUUGGCCUUAUCUAUGUAUAAGGUUUUCUCAGUUUGAUUUUGACAAACUCAUGGACUUGGAAUUGCUCUGUACUAUUUUAAUUUAUUGUGAUGUAAUGAUUUUUUGAAAUGUUUAAUUGAUUAGCUGUUAAAAUAUAGAAAAUUAUGUAGCUUUGCAUGAAAUAAAGUACAUUUCUACAAGUUA